rnacentral:rRNA from 1 species
CCUAGUAACUGCGAGUGAAGCGGGAAAAGCUCAAAUUUAAAAUCUGGCGGUCUUUGGCCGUCCGAGUUGUAAUCUAGAGAAGUGUUAUCCGCGCUGGACCGUGUACAAGUCUCCUGGAAUGGAGCGUCAUAGAGGGUGAGAAUCCCGUCUUUGACACGGACUGCCAGGGCUUUGUGAUGCGCUCUCAAAGAGUCGAGUUGUUUGGGAAUGCAGCUCAAAAUGGGUGGUAAAUUCCAUCUAAAGCUAAAUAUUGGCGAGAGACCGAUAGCGAACAAGUACCGUGAGGGAAAGAUGAAAAGAACUUUGGAAAGAGAGUUAAACAGUACGUGAAAUUGCUGAAAGGGAAACGCUUGAAGUCAGUCGCGUUGUCCGGGGAUCAACCUUGCUUUUGCUGGGUGUACUUUCCGGUUGACGGGUCAGCAUCAAUUUUGACCGUUGGAUAAAGUCUUUGGGAAUGUGGCUUCCUCGGAAGUGUUAUAGCCCAAGGUCGCAUACAACGGUUGGGAUUGAGGAACUCAGCACGCCGAAAGGCCGGGUACUUGUACCACGUUCGUGCUUAGGAUGCUGGCAUAAUGGCUUUAAUCGACCCGUCUUGAAACACGGACCAAGGAGUCUAACAUGCCUGCGAGUGUUUGGGUGGAAAACCCGAGCGCGUAAUGAAAGUGAAAGUUGAGAUCCCUGUCGUGGGGAGCAUCGACGCCCGGACCAGACCUUUUGUGACGGAUCCGCGGUAGAGCAUGUAUGUUGGGACCCGAAAGAUGGUGAACUAUGCCUGAAUAGGGUGAAGCCAGAGGAAACUCUGGUGGAGGCUCGUAGCGAUUCUGACGUGCAAAUCGAUCGUCAAAUUUGGG